rnacentral:rRNA from 1 species
GAUGAACGCUAGCUACAGGCUUAACACAUGCAAGUCGAGGGGAAACGAUAGAGAAAGCUUGCUUUUUCUAGGCGUCGACCGGCGCACGAGUGAGUAACGCGUAUCCAACCUGCCCACCACUUGGGGAUAACCUUGCGAAAGUAAGACUAAUACCCAAUGACGUCCAUAGAAGACAUCUGAAAUGGAUUAAAGAUUUAUCGGUGAUGGAUGGGGAUGCGUCUGAUUAGCUUGUUGGCGGGGUAACGGCCCACCAAGGCGACGAUCAGUAGGGGUUCUGAAAGGAAGGUCCCCCACAUUGGAACUGAGACACGGUCCAAACUCCUACGGGAGGCAGCAGUGAGGAAUAUUGGUCAAUGGGCGAGAGCCUGAACCAGCCAAGUAGCGUGCAGGAUGACGGCCCUAUGGGUUGUAAACUGCUUUUAUAAGGGAAUAAAGUGGGAGUCGUGACUCCUUUUGCAUGUACCUUAUGAAUAAGAACCGGCUAAUUCCGUGCCAGCCGCCGCGGUAAUAC